rnacentral:rRNA from 1 species
UACAGAGGCCUCGAGCGUUAGGCGGAAUCACUGGGCUUAAAGCGUGUGUAGGUGGAUGCCUAAGUACCUUGUGAAAUCCCACAGCUUAACUGUGGAAUUGCUUGGUAUACUGGGUGUCUUGAGCCACUCAGGGGCUACCGGAACAAGCGGUGGAGCGGUGAAAUGCGUAGAUAUCGCUUGGAACGCCAAUGGUGAAAACAGGUAGCUGGGGGUGUGCUGACACUGAGACACGAAAGCCAGGGGAGCAAACGGG